GUGGCUGCUGGUGGCUGACCUUGGAACACAAAUGUGAAGAGGUGAUUAAAGCCUUUUGGAGAUGAAAGAACCAGUGGUGGAGAGCUCACAACACCCAAAUUAUCCACUCCCUGUUGUUCACUUUUUCCCAUCACACUUUGUACCAUUCAAUCUUCAUGAACAUUUGAUGGGCUCUGAGAAACAUCAUGGGCAUGGGUUUCAGGCUAAACCUGAAAUGGGAUUUUCCAAUCAGUUGUCCUACUCUCACCAAUUCACCAUCCAGGCUUUGCACAUCUUCAGUCCAAGGUAAGGAGGCUUCCUUUGACUCAACAAGGUUUUCUUUCCCAUCUGUUACUUCUGAGGACUGUGAGACUCUCUAUAAAGAUCCAUUCAAGCCAUUCGCAUGCUCAUCAGGAGCUCUACAAACCUUUGAGAAUGAUUACUCAGAAAUGGAGGAGAUGAAAAUGAAAAUUGGCAAAUGUUCACAUGGUGAUUUAUUCAAGAUAGUCAAUGCUUCUCAGGCACCCAUUGGAGAGGAUAUAUCCGCAUCUGUUGCAGGCUUACAAGCAAGCAAAGCAUCGCAGUUUAGUUUGUUAUUGGAAAAUCUUGAUAUUUUAGAGGAGAUGUUUGCUGAUUCUAACAUGGUAAGGUUGGAAAGGGAUAUUAUGGUGCAAUUAGGAAGGCUUGGAGCUCUAAAACUAUUCCAAAUAUGUCUAUCCAGGACCCUCAAAACAUCUACAUCUUUUGAUUUGUUUAGCGCUCCUACUGAGCAUAUUAGGGAGUGUCAAACGAAUGGCACAGUGGAUGAUCACUUAGAUAAAGUUGUUGUUCGCUCUGGGAAAAAGGAAGAAAGAAAAUCAAAGAGAGAAAGAGCAUUGGAAAAAGCUGACAACAUAUAUGCUUUUCCAUUGCCCUCAAAAACUAUUCGUAAAGGUCCUGGCCGACCUAGUGUUUCUACUGUAAAGAGAACAUUGAACUCUAGAAGUAAAAGAUUGAUGAAUGCUAAGAACGAGGCAGAAAUGUCAAAGGGAGUGAAGUUGGUUGCCAACUUGGAGAGAAUCAGAGCAACUUUAGAAGAAGAAAUUGGGCAUGUGGCCAGCUUGAGUAACUGGGCAGAAGCUGCUGGAGUCGACAAGAAGGUGUUGCAACAACAAUUGCAGUUUGGUUGGUAUUGCAGAGAUGAACUUUUAAGGAGUACACACUCCUUAGUCGUAUACAUCGCAAGAAACUACAGAGGAAUGGGAGUAGCCUUUGAAGAUAUACUUCAGGCAGGGAAUUUAGGUGUCCUGCAAGGUGCAGAACGGUUUGACCACACAAAGGGAUACAGAUUCUCGACCUAUGUCCAGUACUGGAUAAGAAAAUCAAUGUCAACUUUGGUGGCACGGCAUGCUAGAGGGGUCAAAAUUCCUUUUACAUUAAACAGGGCAAUAGGUCAGAUACAGAAAGCUCGAAAGGCCCUUUACAAAAGCCAUGGAAGAUAUCCAGAUGAUAAUGAAAUUGCAAAGUUCACUGGUCUAUCUCUUGCUAAAAUUAGAUCAGCUGGAAAUUGCCUAAGGGUUGUGGGUUCAACUGAUCAAAGUUUCCAAGAUUGUUGGGGUGCAACAAUUCUGGAGUUUACACCAGAUACAUCAAUAAAGAGCCCUGAAGAAGGUUUCAUGCGGCAAUGCAAGAGAAAAGACAUUCACAAUCUUCUGAAAGGUUUAGACCCAAGAGAGAGGCAAAUUUUGGUGUUAAGAUAUGGUUUUGGGGAGCAGCAGCGCAAGUCACUAGAAGAGAUUGGGAGACUUUUCAAUGUUAGCAAAGAGUGGAUAAGGAAGUUAGAGAAAACAGCACUGGCAAAGCUAAGGGAUGAAGAAAUCUGCCAAAAUUUGAGACAUUAUGUGGAUGUGUAGUGUCAAAUUAGUUCGAAAAGCUCUAGCUGAGAGUAGUUGUUCAUAUCAACUUCACAUUCUGAAUUCAAAGCAGGCUGGAUGAAUGCGCAUCAUAACACUAACCAGACUUUCCAGAAGACUUCCAAGAGAAAAAACUGAAAGAUGUGAACUGCAACAACUUUUAAACUGAAUGGCACCUCAAAAGCUGGAGUCUGAAAGGUGGAAUACGGUGGAGAGACAAAGUUCUUCAGCCGUCUGGACCGAUAAACCAAAAGUCUCAAAUUCAAGCUUCUUGAUAUUUAAGUGCUAUAGGAUGGAGGGGUGGUUCAUAUCACUUGAAGUUUGCUUUGCAUGCAGUCGACACAUAUGCCUCCCUACUGAAGUGGAUCUCUAAGGUUAAGGGUGGGAUGGAAAAUGCUUGUUGGAGGUUUGAUUUCAGCAUUAAUGUUCACCAAAUUCAUUAAAUUGAACACUGAUGGAUGACAUGUAUAGGGUUUAUUCUCUGAUGCAGAGAAUACCAAUUAGAAGUAGCAUUCAAGGAGAUGCUUUCCAAGCCUUUGUAGCUUGAGAGGAGAGCAAGGGGGAGGGAAAUGCAAGGCCUCAUGAGAAAUGGGGACCCCUCACUUUUACCUAAACUUGGGAAUCAAGCAAAAUAUCAUCCCACCCAAACUAGGUUUUUUUCCCUUUUUUAUUUUGGGUUAAAAAGUGAACAGAUGGGAAAUAAAGGUUUUGAAGAAAACCCUAAGGAAGACUAUCGAUUCAUACAUUCUAACCAUUACCAUUAUCAUUUUCUUUUC